AGGGAAUAUUGGACAAUGGGGGCAACCCUGAUCCAGCAAUGCCGCGUGAGUGAUGAAGGCCUUAGGGUUGUAAAGCUCUUUUACCCGGGAUGAUAAUGACAGUACCGGGAGAAUAAGCCCCGGCUAACUCCGUGCCAGCAGCCGCGGUAAUACGGAGGGGGCUAGCGUUGUUCGGAAUUACUGGGCGUAAAGCGCACGUAGGCGGCGAUUUAAGUCAGAGGUGAAAGCCCGGGGCUCAACCCCGGAAUAGCCUUUGAGACUGGAUUGCUUGAACAUCGGAGAGGUGAGUGGAAUUCCGAGUGUAGAGGUGAAAUUCGUAGAUAUUCGGAAGAACACCAGUGGCGAAGGCGGCUCACUGGACGAUUGUUGACGCUGAGGUGCGAAAGCGUGGGGAGCAA
rnacentral:rRNA from 1 species